rnacentral:lncRNA from 1 species
CUUUUUGCCUUUUCUAGGGACGCUCCUGUGGCAUAUAGAGGUUCCCAGGCUAGGGGUCUAAUCCGAGCUGUAGCCACCGGCCUAUGCCAGAGCUUACAGCAGCACGGGAUCCGAGCUGCGUCUGCAACCUCCACCACAGCUCAUGGCAGUGCCGGAUCCCCAACCCACUGAGCAAGGCCAGGGAUCGAACCCGCAACCUUGUGGUUCCUAGUUGGAUUCGUUAACCACUGAGCCACGACAGGAACUCCAAGCUCACAAUAACUUUUGUUGAAUAUAACUAUUUGAAUGUACUUUCACUAUAUUUAUUAUUAUAUAAGAAUUUUAAACAACUAAAACCAACUCGCACACAUAUUUAGAGCCUAACUUGCUGGGAGUAUAGGUAGACAAAGACCCCUGGGAAACAACAACUAAUUUUUUCACUAAAAUCAAAUUGCAAAGCAGCUACUUUGCACAUCCAUAGCUAGGCACCGUACUAUGGGUUGCAAGUAAUAAAAAGUUGUUAGUUACAGACUCUGUUCUAUAGGGCUAUUUUAGAAGAGCAAAUCGUGUUCUCACAAAAAGAGAGACCAAAAUAGAAAGUGUCAUAGGAAUUUAGACAAGGGAGAAACACAUCUGACAGGAAAAGGAAGGUGGAUGUGGGGAAGGCUUUACAGAAGAGGCAGUGUCUGAUGUGAGCAAGGUUUCAACAUGUAGCAAGCAGGAUGAGUGAAAGAAACAAAUUAAUGAUAUUAUGGCGAGUAAACUGGAAAUAAAUACCACUUGGUUUUGGCUGGUCAUGGGGUAAUUUAAAGGGAUAAUGAGAAACUAGAUAAUGAGAUAUUUCAGUGCCUCAUAUAUAUUACUUAUUAAUAAUAUUUUAAGCAUAAGCAUUUAAAAAAGAACAAUAUGGGGUAGAAGAUUAGGAGGUACAAACUGUUUUGUAUAUAAUAAGCUAUGAGGAUAUAUUGCACAACAUAAGGAAUAUAGUCAUAAUUUAUAAUAACCACGAACAGAAUAUAACCUUUAAAAAUUGUAACUAUAUUGUACACUGGUAAUAUAUAUUACACAUCAAUGAUAUUUUAAGUUAAAAAUAUUAUUUUACACUUACAUGUGGAAUCUAAAAAAAGGACACAAUGAACUCUGCAAAGCAGAUACUGACUCACAGACUUUGAAAAACUUAUGGUUUCCAAGUGAGACAGAUUGGGGGGUGGGGGAUGCAUUGAACGUUUGGGAUGGAAAUGCUAUAAAAUUUGGUUGUGAUGAUCGUUGUACAACUAUAAAUGUAAUAAAAAUUCACUGAAGGCCAUUGACUACUUUAAAAAUAGCACUAUUUCUACCCAUUCUCAAUGGAGGCAAUGGCGAAAUACAAAUGACAACUCUUCUUCCGCCUUAUUAACCCUACUUUUCUUUUUCCAUCUUUCAAAAUCUCAGGAUAAGGCUAUUUCAAUUGUAGCUAAUGACAGUAAUGAAAAACCAGAAAAUGACUUUUGUUAGGAGAGGGCAACUUUGAUUCCUAAAUAUGUACUCAAUUUACUGAUAAUACUGACCACCACUGGAGUAAAUUUUUAUGUGAUUAGAAAGCAACAUAUUGAUUUCUUUUUUCAUUUGUUUGCUUGUUUGUUGGCCUUGUCUAUGGCAUUGGAGAGUUCCUGGGCCAGGGAUGAAAAUCACACCACAGCAGUGACCCACUGUCCAUCCACUGACAAUGCUGGAUCCUCAUCCUUAACCCGCUGCACCACAGGAAAACUCCAGCAACAGACUGACUUCUAUUCUAUCUUGUCAAAACUACAAAAAGUUCCUACAGUUCAUUUAGCAUCUAAUAGUGCACAUCUUCCUAUUUUGUAUUCCUCCUCCAUUUCUUAACACUAGGCAAUUAAUGUUUCCUUUCUCUGGUAAUUUUUUUUUUUUAAAAAGGGAAAUAAAGUCAUAAAUCAGUUUUAGUCGGGAAAUCAUACACAUAUUUCUUCCUAGGACUCUGAAUUUAGAAACUUGCCUCAGAAAUUGUUUAAAUAUAAUAAAGCCCAGAUGCAGAAAUCCUUUAAAUUUAAUUAUCAUAUUCAGUUGUACUGAAACAAGAAAUUAAAUUUUCUAUCUUGUUUUCUUUCUUCCCAAAAAGGCUUCUCCAACCCUCAUCCAUAACUUCAUGCAUCCUCACCUGUAAAAUCACUGGCAGUUAUGACACCAGCUUAGGCAGCACCAAUCUCCUAAUCCUGACCCAUUUCCUAUCAAAGAAUUCAGUUUUUCCAGAAACCAAGUAAUAGACGCUGUCAAUUUCUUACCAUCAUUAGGAUAUAUUCACGUCUUAUACUUCAGUAUAAAGACAGUUUUUAAAAUUACAGAAAUUCUUAUAGUACUUAAGGUCAGUUGCACUAAUCUGUAUGCUGUAUGUCACAUACUUUGGGCUACUUUCUUAAAAAUGAAUUAUUAUUUUAACAUGUUUCUCACUCUCACUUAUUAUCAGAAUAAUUAUUCCUAUGGUUGAAUAUUUUAUGAUUAGGCCAGAAAGGUGGUAGAAUAAAGGGUUUUGCUGUUCUCCUUUGUUCCCCUAGUUGGUGUGCCAGAGUCAAAUUUUUGGAAUUCUGAAAUUUAACAUUUCAAACACAAACUACAUUCAACAGAUAAUAAUAACAACAAAAACAAGCCAAAAAAAAAAAAAAAUUUUGACCCAGAGGUUUUCAUGGUCCAGGAAAACAGUUCCUGGAAUGGGCCACUUGGAAUAGGAUUUGCCCACUCCCUCCACUCCUUCUGCCCCAAAUACUGACGGUAGAGACAAAGAAACCAAUUCCAGUCUUUUCAAAGUGUAUUUAUAAAUUGAGAAUUUAUCACCAAAAACCAAUAAUGAUGUAUAAUAGAAUGAACAUGAUUUUGCAGAACCAAUAUCUUCGUCUAAAAACAAUAUUUAAAAAAGCAGAGCUAAUAUUUUUCGCUAUAAACCCUGCCCCGCUUUUCCACUGAUUUCCUAUUUCAAUUUGCUAAAAUAAAACUGCUCAGCUUUUGAGUCCAAUUGACUCUUUCAUUGCAAAUGUAAAGAUAACAAAUCUCCUUUUAAAUAGAAUGGUGGCACACAGAACACCACACAGUCUGGCUUAUUGCAACUGUUCUCCGUUGGUGAAGUGGCACAUUUGCAAUCCCCACCACAGCCAUCUUAACCAUUUCACAGAAUAACAUUCACAUGUACAUCCCUCCGUGGGCAACAGGAAGAGGCAGGAGCUUGGCAGCAAGGCACUUGUGUGGGGAAAUCCUAGGUUAGAACCCUUAAAAGGGGAGACUAACUUGAGGAUGCUCAAAUAUCCUGAAGUUUAAAUUGGGCCAGCUCCCCUGGCUUUCUGACUGCCUGUGGGGAAAGCCUCUCUGGAAACUCUUUGGAGGUUAUUGAGGAAUCCUAGGACAAAUGCACUGCUUGCUUUUGAGGGAGGGCUUGCCUCAUACUCUACCAAGCUAGAUAUCUCACAACCCAGAUGGAUUUAAAAAGAUCCAAGUAAAUACUGGAUAGACUGACACUCACAUUUCUACUUCCACCUACUCCCAUGCACAGGGAGCAAAAUACGUAGGUAUGGACCGCUUUCUCACACCCCAACAGUUUCUGCUGUCCUCGAAAGCUGGCCAGUAGCCACAGGCGCUACAAUGGAGUUAUCAGAAACCAUAUCGGUAAUAGGCUUAAAGGAUUUUUCAUACCAUGUAUUAGGGUGACGGACACAGGUAACAGCUCAAACGCGGUGAAGAGCAAUGCCCUUUCUGGGUCCUUGACAAAAUCAGUCAUGGAACAGAGGUGGUGGACAGGAGCUGAAAAGAGUGGCGUGGGAAGGGGCACAGCAUGGGAGGGGGGGUAAUCAAUGACAUGAUUGACAAGAGAAGAUGGUAAAUUGAAAGGAGAAGUAGAGACAAGUGCUGCUAACCCAAGCUGAACUCCAAGAGAUAAGUUUCUCCUCUAAUGUGAGACUCCUUCUAAAGGUUCCAUUGAAGUGGCUGUUUGACAUUGAAAUGUGCACAACCCCAUUCUGAUAACUGGAAAGGGAGAGGGUAGAGGAAGGAGGAAGAAGAAGGAAGAUUCCUGAUUACUUCUCCAGGCUGCUGCCAAGGACCUGCUGCUCCCAAAGCAGAAAUUAACCAAGUGAAGGUUGAAGGUAGCAGCGUAAAUGUGCAGCUCAAAAAUUAUUUUACAUUUUGAAUCCUCUUCAAUGUCUAAGCGAGUCUGGCUUUGCAAUGGUUGAUUAUCUUUAAAGAGUAUAAAGGCUGACCGCCUUCUUUGUUUGCCCAGUAACACCGCUCCUCCAAUCUCAGGCACUUGGCUGAUUAACAUUUCAAUUCCAGUUGUUGCUCCCUUUCCCACUGCAGAAUGCAGGAGGGACAUUCCCCUUCUUCCCUCUCGGGGCUGCUUACCUUCUCCGGAUCAAGUCAGCGCAUGUCCCCAGCGCCCACUGCCCCGGGGCCGCAGUGCCACCGCGCCGGGCCGGUACGUGGUCAGCUCCACCGGCCCCCACCCCACCUGCCAGCUGCAGCAGCUGCUCCCGCCGCCAAGCUCCGGCCGCAUGAAGUCAUCCCCCGCCCCGGGCCGGAUCGCCACAUUCCGCGCCAGCCGCGGGGGGAGAGGGACAUCUCCCGGCUGCAGGGACUGGCUCCUGGAAAUUGUGACCGACGACCGCUACCCUUCCCGCUUUUAGGAUAAUUUUCUAUUAAUGCUUUUACCGAGGACGCGUCGCUGGACGGGAGACCGAGAGAGAAGAGCCAGAGAGACUUUCUCUGCAUAGCGCCUUUCCGCCGAGCGCUCCCCUGUCCCUCCCGCGGCAUGGACAGCUCCAUUCUGCUGUGUGGGUUUCCCACCCUCUUCAUCUUCCUUAUCAGUAUUGUUCAUUUCGCUAAAUUUGAGAGUGGAAUUAGCUUUUAAGAUAAACAUUCAGAUACUCCGAAAAUGUUUUAAAUUGGCAACCAGUUUUUCCAAACCUCUUGUAUCAGGCUCUACUUUCUCCCA